rnacentral:tRNA from 1 species
CGGGCCGUAGCGCAGCCUGGUAGCGCGCUUGCUUGGGGUGCAAGAGGUCCCGAGUUCAAAUCUCGGCGGCCCGACCA